UCCUGAUCUGUAGAGUGUCCUGAUUUCAGUUACCUGUCACUCACCUUCAUUCCUGGUAAACCUGGCGCUAUAUCUAUCGGGUAUAUGUAAAAGAAGAUGAAUGGCACUCACCAGGUUCCAGAAGUGAAGGCAUUGCUGUGACAACACCCGGGCCUACCAGCGGGCUUGGACAUAGAGCCAUUUACAUCUGAUUUCAUCAUCCACGCCCUUCUCAGGUGCACAUAAAUAUCAGACUCAACAUACAAUGCUACAGUCCAGAUCUGUGAAACGUGUCAAUGGCUGGAAGAACUGACCAAUCAGAAUGGGCAUUUUACUGGAAAAACCCCUGUAUUACUGAAGUGUAUGCACUGACUGGUGUCUGGUAGCGCCCCCUACAGUACAGGGAGGUAUUACAUGUUCUGUACUCUUCACCUGUAUUACUGAAGUGUAUGCACUGACUGGUGUCUGGUAGCGCCCCCUACAGUACAGGGAGGUAUUACAUGUUCUGUACACUUUACCUGUACCAGGGUUACCUGCUCCUUUGGACACCAGGUGAGGGCGACUCCAUGUUACUUUUUUAGGACAUUGCCUGUACUGUACAGGA